rnacentral:rRNA from 1 species
AUAAUGGGUCAGCGACUUAUAUUCUGUAGCAAGGUUAACCGAAUAGGGGAGCCGAAGGGAAACCGAGUCUUAACUGGGCGUUAAGUUGCAGGGUAUAGACCCGAAACCCGGUGAUCUAGCCAUGGGCAGGUUGAAGGUUGGGUAACACUAACUGGAGGACCGAACCGACUAAUGUUGAAAAAUUAGCGGAUGACUUGUGGCUGGGGGUGAAAGGCCAAUCAAACCGGGAGAUAGCUGGUUCUCCCCGAAAGCUAUUUAGGUAGCGCCUCGUGAAUUCAUCUCCGGGGGUAGAGCACUGUUUCGGCAAGGGGGUCAUCCCGACUUACCAACCCGAUGCAAACUGCGAAUACCGGAGAAUGUUAUCACGGGAGACACACGGCGGGUGCUAACGUCCGUCGUGAAGAGGGAAACAACCCAGACCGCCAGCUAAGGUCCCAAAGUCAUGGUUAAGUGGGAAACGAUGUGGGAAGGCCCAGACAGCCAGGAUGUUGGCUUAGAAGCAGCCAUCAUUUAAAGAAAGCGUAAUAGCUCACUGGUCGAGUCGGCCUGCGCGGAAGAUGUAACGGGGCUAAACCAUGCACCGAAGCUGCGGCAGCGACGCUUAUGCGUUGUUGGGUAGGGGAGCGUUCUGUAAGCCUGUGAAGGUGUACUGUGAGGUAUGCUGGAGGUAUCAGAAGUGCGAAUGCUGACAUAAGUAACGAUAAAGCGGGUGAAAAGCCCGCUCGCCGGAAGACCAAGGGUUCCUGUCCAACGUUAAUCGGGGCAGGGUGAGUCGACCCCUA